UCUCACUUGCAGUUACAGCCAGGGGCUGCCAGGGGGGGGGUGCUGCAGCACCCUAAGCACCCCCACUUCCCGUGUCCCUGUGUCCAGGCAACUGUCUUCUGCAAGGAUUUCGGUGUUGGGACAUCCAAUGCAGACCCUUUGUGCCUGUCAUCGACACCAGUAAAGAAACCAUCCAAAAGACCUCGGGUAGACCUUGAGGAAGAGCUGGUGGACAAUCCAUUGGAGGGCAGCUCUUUGGUGGAAGCUUCUAAGGGACCAGAUUCCACUUAUGAUCCUUCUGACUUCAUCACAGCAUUGUUAGACUAUACACUAAAGUCAGAAGAUUCAUCCACUGCAACACACAACGGCAAGAAAUACAUGGUGUACGAGUGCUGCAUCAUGGAGUUGUUUAAUAGCCAGCCUAUCCUUAGGAGCACGCCAGCUUGAAAUCUUCACCUUUCUGCCGCUGUGUACCUGAGUGGUGCAUCUUUCCUAAAAAUCGAAAAGGUCUUCAAGGCAAUGAAGCUACAGUUGUUUCGGUAUGAAACAUUUCGCCGCCAUGCCAAAAGUUUCAUUGAACCAGCAGUUAUUCACCAGUGGAAAGUCCUAAAUGAUUUGAAUCUGCAGCGGUUAAGUCUGGAGGAAAUAGUGAUACUUGGUGGUGACAUGAGAGCUGACUCCAGGUCACUGCAAAGUAUGGGAGUUACACAAUGAUGGAUCUCCAUACUAACACCAUUGUGGACAUUCAGUUGGUCCAGCAAAGAAGUUGGUGGUAGCACCCAUAUGUAGAAGGAGGGACUGAAGAGGAGUCUAGCCUUACUGGAGUCGCGUGGCGUCAACCUUGACUGCAUUGUCACUGAUCGUCAUCCUCAAGUACAGAAGUUCCUCAGGGAGAGAAACAUAACCCAUUACUACGAUGUCUGGCACUUUGCAAAAGGUAUUUCAAAGAAGCUGUUGGCAAUCAGUAUGCAGAAAGACUGAGAAACUCAAGAAGUGGAUGAAGAGCAUCAACAACCACAUAUACUGGACUGCAGCUGGCUCAACCUCCGGGCCAGAGAGAAUCGCAAAGUGGACCUCGAUCCUGAACCAUGUUCGAGAUGUCCAUGUACAUGAAGAUCCUCUUUACCCCAAGUGCGAGCAUGCGAUCCGCCAGACAAGUGACCGGAGUAAAUGGCUUCAAGCAGCAACGCCAACUUUCUCCAAGUUGGAGAAGUUGCUGACCAACAAAAGGGCGCUGAAGGAUGUUGCAAAACUGAGCCCCCACCACCAAACUUCAUCUUUGGACGCUUUCCAUGCAGUUAUUCUUCGUUUUGCCCCCAAAAAUUUUGGAUUUCUAAAAUGUAUUUCUCUUGAUGAAAAAUCUAAUAAAUACAAAAACACAGUAACACAAAACCCAACCAAUUUGAAAAGAAAACAUGUUUUACGAUACAGGUUACGUUGAUGACAUCAUGGAUGUCAUUUUUGAGGAAGUCUUUCCCAACCCUACGCCAUACACCGAGGCCCUGUUGGAGAUCCCUGUUCCAGAGCCCCUAACGGCACAAUAUGAGAAGCCUGACAAGGAGGCGGUCAUCAGCAGCCUUGUGUCAAGGUUCAAACGGGGGGACGUUUAAAACCGACAUAGUGGCCUUCCUCAGCAGGAAACUCAGAGCGGAUACGCAGGACCACACAAGCUGGAAUGACAACCCGGAUACUGCAUCCCAGGAGGCCCCAGCACCAGCUCACAAAGGAACGAUAGGAGAGAUACCUGUAGCAACUGAACAAUUGAUUCAGAGAUUAAGUCUUGCAGAGAUUUAUCAUUGCUUUGUGUUAUGAAAAUAAAUAUUACUAUGCUCCUAUGGA